rnacentral:misc_RNA from 1 species
AGCAAGGCCAUCACUGAAAAAAUUGUAAUCUUUUGUUCACUUGCCUCCAACUUUUUUGUUUCCUCUGGUCAUACUAGAAAAUUGGAGUGUUGAGAUAACUGGAGUUAUACACCCUUUAUAAUUAACUAACAAUUUUCCCUGCAAUUUCUGUUAUUGUGAAAUCUGCAAUUUUUUUUUCUAUGCAGAGAUCUCAGUUUCAACAGAUUGGG